UACAGAGACUCCAAGCGUUAUCCGGUUUCAUUGGGCGUAAAGCGUUCCGAUCGGUGGUUUAGUGUGUCUAAGGUGAAAGACCGCAGCUUAACUGCGUGUUUGCUUUAGAAACUACUUUACUAGAAGAGUAAAGAGGUAGUUGGAACUCUACAAGUAGGGGUGAAAUCCAUUGAUAUGUAGGGGAACACCAAAAGCGAAGGCAGACUACUAAGUACUUCUUGACACUGCUAGGACGAAAGCGUGGGGAGCAAAACGG
rnacentral:rRNA from 1 species